rnacentral:ncRNA from 1 species
AGUUUUUGAUGGGUUUUUUUUAGAACGUUACUUUUUUUCAGUUGCGUCGAAUACGAUUUUAACAAAUUGGCACAAAUAAAGGAAAAGUCUCGAAACGAGUGAACCGUUUCCGAACUGGGUUGAAACGGGCUCAUUUGCUACCAAUUUAAGGUGGAUUCCCCUUUUGUGUUCGCAUGGAAAUGUUUAUCGGUUUGUCAUCUGUGAUGAUUAGGAAUAUUUUAUUUCAUCUUUGACCAUAACUGCCAAGGCAAAUAUUUUAAGCGACGAACAGCGAAAGCAUUUGCCGAGAAUGUUUUCAUUAAUCAAGAAUGAAAGUUAGAGGUUUGAAAGCGAUCAGAUACCACCCUAGUUCUAACGAUGAAUGAAAGCAAUCAGUGAUCUGUCAGUGUUUAUUUGAUGACUGGAUGGGCAACCUCGGAAGCCAAAUUGAACU